CUACGGGUUGCUCCAGUAGGGAAUCUUAGACAAUGGGGGAAACCCUGAUCUAGCCAUGCCGCGUGAGUGAUGAAGGCCUUAGGGUUGUAAAGCUCUUUCGCUGGGGAAGAUAAUGACGGUACCCAGUAAAGAAACCCCGGCUAACUCCGUGCCAGCAGCCGCGGUAAUACGGAGGGGGUUAGCGUUGUUCGAAAUUACUGGGCGUAAAGCGCGCGUAGGCGGGCUAUUAAGUCAGGGGUGAAAUCCCGGGGCUCAACCCCGGAACUGCCUUUGAUACUGGUAGUCUUGAGUUCGAGAGAGGUGAGUGGAAUUCCGAGUGUAGAGGUGAAAUUCGUAGAUAUUCGGAGGAACAUCAGUGGCGAAGGCGACUCACUGGCUCGAUACUGACGCUGAGGUGCGAAGGUGUGGGGAGCAAACAGGAUUAGAUACCCCUGUAGUC
rnacentral:rRNA from 1 species